UAGCUCAGUUAGAGCAUGGUGUUUGCAACGCCAGGGUUGUGGGUUCGAUUCCCAC
rnacentral:tRNA from 1 species